AUAUGGAUAUAUGUCUCCAGAAUACGCAGUUGAUGGGAAAUUUUCAGUGAAAUCAGAUGUUUUCAGUCUUGGUGUUCUUCUGCUAGAAAUAGCUUGGUUAUUAUGGAACGAAGGAAAAGCCUUGGAACUAAUCGAUGAUUGUUUAAAAGAAUCGUUUGUGGAAUCCCAAGUGCUAAGAUGUGUUCAUGUGGCACUGUUAUG
rnacentral:misc_RNA from 1 species